rnacentral:tRNA from 1 species
CGGGAUGUGGCUCAGUUUGGUAGAGCACCUCGCUUGGGACGAGGGGGUCGCACGUUCAAAUCGUGUCAUCCCGACCA